AGAUUAAAAAAACAUUUUUUUUUAAUAUUUCCACCCUCAUGCAUUCCCUUGCCAAUCAGCUGCCUCUCUCCAUGACCUCUGGAUGUCACUACAAGCCAGGUUUCUGUAGCUGCCCAUGCUCUCAGAAAAGGGCUGUCCUUCCAGAAACCUCCAGCUGGAAUGAAGGGGUAUAAGAAGCACUGCUCUGAGGGGCCCCGGAGCACCAGGCAGCAGGCCCUGCUUCCCCCAGACCCCAGGAGUACUCUCACUCUCUGGUUCUGCCUCCCAGAACUGGGGGCUGGGAUGGCCAGGGUUGUACUGCCAUCCAGGCUUAAGGCAGGGCAGGGCUACCCUCAAAUCCCAUGGGGAUACCCUAACUCAGCACCUCAUCAGGCAAAAGAGGAAUGAAGAAUUAUCUCUGCAGGUUUUCAUGAAGUCAAAGACUCUCAAUCUCCCAUCCCCUUCCUAGACCCUAAAGGGAGCAGGAGACAGGGACAAAUUACAGACUUUACAGUCCUGCUUUCCACUGGUCCUCUUACCAAGGAGCAGGGUAAGGAAGACACAUAUCCUUUGAGCACCAGGGCAGGGACUUGGUCUUCAGAGCAUCUCACAUGUUAAUUUAACAAACAUUUAUUUAGUGCUGACCAUUUGAGGUUCUCUCAGUAGUAAUACUAAUGGCAGAGAUCACACGUGGGUUUCUACCGGCCAGGAGCAGGGCUAACACAUCACAUGCAUCAUCAUGCCAGAGUCCAAAAUGUCCAAGGAGGCAGGAACUUCUCUUGCUCCAGGGGAAUCUGCCCCUUAGAUAAGUCCAUGCAGAGUGGACUGGCAGAGCUGGGAAGGAGCCCUGGUCACAGGACCACACCUGUGGAUGGUCCUGUGUCACAGGUAAGGAAAUGAGGCUCAGAGGGACAGGAAUGGCUGGUUCUUAGUCUUGGUUCAGUCUCGAAACAUUGCUAAAAAUGCCAACUCCUUAGGGAAACUUCUUCAGCAGGCAGCUGCAAUGUGUUUGUUUGUUUGUUUGUUUGUUUGUUGGCAUGUGCAUACAUGUAUGAUAUUAUACACUGUACCAUGUAACACAUUAAUAAUAUCAGUGAAAUAUACAUUGAAUUACAAAAUUAAAAAUACAGACGAGUAGGCAUUCUAAUAUUGCUUAUGCACCCUGGCCUAAGCCUUUUAAUCACAUCAGGUACAUGUCUCUGAUUCCUUAACUGUUCUGAUGGUUACUGUGAGGAUGAAAAGGGAGAAAUACUUUGAAAUUAAAAUGACUAAUAAGUGCAAAUUGAUCUAAAUAAUAAGCAUAAUUUAUUCCUAUAGGAUAUCUUGAUUGAGCCCCUGUGCAUGUCAGGACUUGUGCUGGGUACAGUGGGGAGGUCACAGAGAGUCCCAUCAAAAGCUUGUCCACAAAGAGGCAAUUGCUAAGGAGACAGGAGAUAUAAAUACCAUUGCCUUGAGUGCAGAUGGAGCAACCAGGAUGGCUAAAACACUAGGUUCUAUAAGACUUCUGGGAAAGAGAUGCAACCUUCCCCGUACAACCACUAGAAAUAUGGUUAAUCCUUAUUUUCCUAAGAGUUCACAAUGCUUAUUAAAUACACUGUAACAAGAACACAAGCUAUACCGUAAAGGGCUGAAAGUAAGACAAUGUGUCAACUGUCAUCAUCGAUAAUGUCUGAUCAGUUCAGAUGGGUGAGCCCAUCGUGUCUGCAUGAGGCAAGGUACUAAGCCUGUCUAGGAAACGCAAGCCAAUCCAGGCAAUCCAUGUGUCUGUGUGUUGUGACAACAUAGUUGGAAAUAAACUUAGGAAGGUGGGGUCCAAAUGGAUUAAACCAAUGAUGCUGAAAGAAAACAGAGGUGUAAAUAUUUGGUGAGUCAGUUGGCUAGAAUGGUAAAUGUGGGGACCAAGGAGGUGCAUCAAACACAUGUGGGCCCUCUCCCCCUGGAAGUCCCCCUUCAUGAAAUGUUCCCCAGCCAGAAGCAUGUGGGAAGCCUUUAUUGUUUUCUUGGCCCUAGAGAGAGUCCAGGGAAAGAGAGAAUAAGUGGAUGAUUCCAUGGUCGUACUUGGGAAAGGGCUCCAAGCACACACCUACUAGUGUUGGCCUCAUUGUCAUCUCUGCAUCCAGAGGACAAAUGGUCAGUAGUGCUAUCAAGGAAAAGGGCUGGAGAACGGAGGCAGGAAAUCAUACCAGCUGGUCUGGAGGGAAGUUAUAUUAGUUCACUAAGGCUACUGUAAUCAAGUACCACAGACUGGGUAGCUUAAACAACAGAAAUUUAUUUUCUCAUUAUUAUGGAGGCUAGAAGUCCUAGAUCAAUGGUCAGCAAGGCUCCUUCCUUCUGAGGCCUCUCUCCUUGCCUUGCAGAUGGCGAUCUCCUCCCUAUGUCCUCACACGAUCUUCCCUUUGUACAUGUUUGUGUCCUAAUCUUUUCUUAUAAGGACAUCAGUGAUACUGGAUUAGGACCCACCCUAAUGUCCUCGUUUUAACUAGAUUACCUCUUUCAAGACCUUAUCUCCAAAUAUAGUCAUAUUUAUGGUACUGGGGUUAGGAGAUUAACAUACGUAUUUUGGAAGAAGACCUAAUUCAGCCUGUAACAGAAGUGUUUUCUUAACUUUGUUAAAAUGAAGCAUUGAGAGAAAAAAAGAACUAACCAGCUCACUGUGUGAAAUGUCAUAAAGGCUUCACUGAGACCUGGUAUGAAUGACAAAAAGACUGGCCCAACUUAGCCAGUUUGGGCCAGGACCUCAGGAGUGACCAGCUUCUGCCAAAAGUCUUCUCUACAGCCAGAUGAUGCUAUAAACUGACUAUCUGUGUUCCUCUCAAAUUUGCGUGUUGAAAUCCUAACCCUCAAUGUGAUGGCAUUAGGAAGUAUGGCAUCUGGGAGGUGAUUAGGUUAUGAGGGUAGAGCCCUUGCGAACGUGAUAACUGUUUUUAUAAGAAGAGAUUCAGGAGCUUGCUCUUUCUCUCUGUUCUCCAGCAUGUGAGGAUAUGAGAAGAAAGCCAUCUGCAAACCAGGAAGAGGGCUCUCAUCAGAACAGAAGCUGCCAGGACCUUGAUCUUGGACUUUCAGCUUCCAGAACUGUGCGAAAAGCAGUUUGGAGGCAAUGUCACAAAUCCUGGGCCCAGGCCUGAAUAAAGCUGGCAAGUUCCUUUCCUUGCUGAUCCACAGUGAAAACGUGAUGGCCAAAGUAGAUGAAGUGAAGUCCAUAAUUAAAUUCCCAGUUGAAGACGGUGUGGCGUCUGGCAGUGGCUAUCGGCCAUGUGAAGAUGACAGAGGAUGAACUUGGGCACAACAUCCACUUAGCUGUCAAUGUCCUGGUACCAUUGCUCAAGAAGAAUUGGCAGAACAUCCAGGCUUUAUACAUCAAGAGCACCACGGGCAAGUCCCAGAGCCUGUACUAAGGCACAGCUUAAUAAACCCUAGUGCUACCAUUAAAUAAAUCUAUCUAUCUAUCAUCUAUCUAUCUAUCA